rnacentral:lncRNA from 1 species
AACACACACGAACAUAAUGCCAAAAUCCCUAAUCUACACGCGAUUGUUCUUCUUCUUCUCCCAAAAAUACCCGAAUCUCUUCCCAUUUCAGACCAAAUCCAAGCGAGUGAGCACCAAAUCCCUCACCCCACAUGUUCCCCUUUCUCUCCUCUUGCCACAGAUAACCGUUUCUCACCAGAGAUUCCCUCUCAUCUCAUUCGCUCGAUUUUGGGAUUAAAGCACGCGAUUGGAGGUCCGAGAUACGAUUCGUUGGAUGAAUGUAAGGCAUUGGAUUGAUUUCUUUCAAUCCGAGCCCCACAUUUAUCAGGGGCUCGUUUCAUAAAAGGACUGAAUCUUAUUCUCGAUGGCGGAGGAGGUUGAAAAAGAAUUCUGAGAGAAAUUUUGGAUAAAAACGUUAGAUCUCUUCCUAUUCUUCCAUUUUCUACAUACUGUUUUUAUCCAGAAAAUAAAAGCAAAAAAAUGAUUCUGUUUUAAAUUUUCACUUGCAGUGUGAGAUUUUAGUGGAUUAAUUGAUGAUGUGGGAUUUUAGGUUGGUUUGAGUGUCAGAACAAAAUUUUUCUGUUUCUUCAUUUCAAUUUUCGAUUCUGGUUUCCAAGGAUAUAAAAAUUGAAGUUCGAGCUUGGUUCUCUACUAUCGUCUUACUUAUUUGCCGCUGAGCCUCGCUAGGAUUUGGAGUCAAGAGGUGUAUUGUGGAGUCUAUAACUAUUAGCAGGAGUUUGUAACUUCAGGUUUGAAUUUCUUUUCCAUCAUGUAACGCUGCUUUUGUUUUUGAAGAAAUGUUCUUGAGAUGUGCAUUCUGUCUCGAAUGAUUCUAUGAUCAAAUUUCCUAUCGAAUGAACCUAUGCUCGGUGCUAUGAUGUAUUUAAGUAUGUCUAGUUAGUAGAAGUUGAUUUUGAGUGGUCAUUUUUCUACGCUUAUAUGGUUUACCUGUUAUCGUAAUGUCGAGUUUUCCUUUGGGUCCAGAUUUCGUCGAUUUCAAAUUGUUGUUAUAGUUCAGUCAGUUUGUCAGUGUGAAAUUGCUUGCCUGUUAGAAUUUGGAAGAUGAAUCAUAGGUUUUCUUGGUUUUGAACAUGACAGUGUGAAUACAAGACGUUGCAUUUGAGCUGGUAAUGUUUCUGUCGAAAUAGGUUCUCACGAGAAGAAUGCUAGGUGGAAAUCUGGAACGCUUUAAAUUCAUCUACUCCUAAUUUAAGCCUAGAUCCUUGUGAAUUCUGUUAUCGUUGUUCUAAUGUUCGAGAGUUUUCCGAUUGAGUCUGAACGACUGUUUCUGUUGAUUCUUUGUCGAAGCCCGUUCGAGGUUGUCACGUCGAGUUUUCUGCUCCAAAACUUUUUCAGAUUCAAGAGCUGUUGCUCUCAAGGUGCACAUCACAAAUCUGCACUUUUCUUUGAUUUGCAAGAAACGUUGGUUAUUUUGUCUAAAUUCAUUUAGCGGAUUGGCUGAAUCUGCUUCCAUCUCGUUUUGAACAUAAGCAGAAUGUUUAGUUUGAUUUAGUCGAUUCCUAAAACAUGGCGUCUAUCUAAUUAGUAAUGACGAGUUUGAUAUGAAAAGGAUUCAGUGAUUGAAAUUGUGAUAGGUCUCAUGUAUUUAGCUUGAAUUCAUGCACGCAUCUUUCUUCAUUUAACACAUAUUGCUUGGCUUUGAUAUUUACCUAUGAAAUAUAAUUUUCUUCAUUUAACACACAUGAUUUACCAAGCUUCUUAUAUGUUUCUUCAAAUGUCACUAUUCUGCUAUACAUUAGUCUGUUUCAUCAGUAAAGCAGUAUUCAUGU